rnacentral:rRNA from 1 species
AAGUGUUGGAGGGUUUCCGCCCUUCAGUGCUGCAGCAAACGCAUUAAGCACUCCGCCUGGGGAGUACGACCGCAAGGUUGAAACUCAAAGGAAUUGACGGGGGCCCGCACAAGCGGUGGAGCAUGUGGUUUAAUUCGAAGCAACGCGAAGAACCUUACCAGGUCUUGACAUCCUUUGACCACUCUAGAGAUAGAGCUUUCCCUUCGGGGACAAAGUGACAGGUGGUGCAUGGUUGUCGUCAGCUCGUGUCGUGAGAUGUUGGGUUAAGUCCCGCAACGAGCGCAACCCUUAUUGUUAGUUGCCAUCAUUUAGUUGGGCACUCUAGCGAGACUGCCGGUGACAAACCGGAGGAAGGUGGGGAUGACGUCAAAUCAUCAUGCCCCUUAUGACCUGGGCUACACACGUGCUACAAUGGGAAGUACAACGAGUCGCUAGACCGCGAGGUCAUGCAAAUCUCUUAAAGCUUCUCUCAGUUCGGAUUGCAGGCUGCAACUCGCCUGCAUGAAGCCGGAAUCGCUAGUAAUCGCGGAUCAGCACGCCGCGGUGAAUACGUUCCCGGGCCUUGUACACACCGCCCGUCACACCACGAGAGUUUGUAACACCCGAAGUCGGU